rnacentral:rRNA from 1 species
UACAGGGGGUGCAAACGUUGCUCGGAAUCAUUGGGCGUAAAGCGCACGUAGGCGGUUCGUUAUGUCGGAUGUGAAAGCCCUUGGCUUAACCGAGGAAGUGCAUCCGAAACUGGCGAGCUAGAGUACGAAAGAGGAUCGCGGAAUUCCCGGUGUAGAGGUGAAAUUCGUAGAUAUCGGGAGGAACACCGGUGGCGAAGGCGGCGAUCUGGGUCGAUACUGACGCUGAGGUGCGAAAGCUAGGGGAGCAAACGGG